rnacentral:rRNA from 1 species
GACGAACGCUGGCGGCGUGCUUAACACAUGCAAGUCGAGCGGUAAGGCCCUUUCGGGGGUACACGAGCGGCGAACGGGUGAGUAACACGUGGGUGACCUGCCCUCAGCUCUGGGAUAAGCCUGGGAAACCGGGUCUAAUACUGGAUAUGACUCCAUGACGCAUGUUGUGGGGUGGAAAGCCUUGUGCGGCUGAGGAUGGGCCCGCGGCCUAUCAGCUUGUUGGUGGGGUGAUGGCCUACCAAGGCGACGACGGGUAGCCGGCCUGAGAGGGCGACCGGCCACACUGGGACUGAGACACGGCCCAGACUCCUACGGGAGGCAGCAGUGGGGAAUCUUGCGCAAUAGGCGAAAGCCUGACGCAGCGACGCCGCGUGAGGGAUGACGGCCU